AGGGUUCUUGUAGUGUACAGUAGAACAGAAAUCCCCAAUCCAUCGUAGGGUCCCUGCAUCGAGGGUUUGAUCUUGUGUUUCCUCGUUUCCCUUCACCGACCCCCCGCCGCCGGCCGCCGCCACUACGCGGCUUCUCCAGCCUCCAGCCUCCAGCCGUCGCCACUACGCCGCUUGCCCCACCCAGUUUAGCUUACCCCCUCUCUCGCGCUGGCGUUCGCGUCCUACACCUGCGUCCUCCUGCAGCGCCGCGUCUCUGAAGUCGGCGACGACGACCGUGCCCACUAAUCCAACGAACAACUCCCCUCCCCUUCCCCCACCCCGCAACGCCCAGCCGCCGUGCCUCUGGGGUGGGGGGUGGGGGGGGGGCAGCGAGCAAUGGCGCCGUCCGUCAGUCCGUGUCUCACAGCAACCGUGCUGGCGACCUGGAUACUGGACAGGGAGAUGAUGCUCAGGAAGGCCAAGCAUACAGUUUUCGGCAGAGGCGGCCGCUUCGCCGCCGGCCAGGACGAGGGCCACACCACGGAACCGCUUCGCCCCGGCCAGGACUAGAUCAGAGGCUCUGAUGCUAGCACUGUUACCAGAUGAGUCUAAGAAAUCGCACUGGAUAUCGCUGCCAGAUCAGUGAGUAUUGUUUCUGCAGUAGCUGUCAACCAGAUCAGAGGCUCUGAUAGUAGUACUGUCACCAGAUGUGUCCGAGAAAUCGCACUGGAGGUUACUAGCAAUAUCUUCUGGAUGUUGCUGCCAGAUUCUUGAUGUAGCUGCCAGAUUGAGAGUAUUAUUUCUGCAGUAGCUGUUAACCAGGCUGAUUAUGGUUAUAAGCUGUACGAUAGAUUGCGUUCUCAAAUGUUUGAACUCUCAGCUGUGAUGCUUCUGCAACAAAUUUGUAGUAGUCAAAUCAUUCAAGCACAGAGUAACCUUCAGGGGGUGCUAUCUAGUGGUAAUACAAUAGCAACAUGUAUGUCCCUUCAUGAUUUUAGUUGUUGCUUACAUCAUUCACACUUUGUUGUCAUUACGUCCUUCAAAUGCAUUUUCAAAAAAGAUAUUUGUUUCCUGGAGUCGCAUGCCUCAUCAUUUAUGCGGCUAAUAGCAAACUUGUGAUGCGUGUAUGAUC